ACUGACUGUAGAGGUGGGGCAGGUGCCUCUGCUACGUCAUGUUCACCAGUAGGUGACAGAGAGGAGAGAGGCCGUGUCUACACUCAGUGUUCUGACCUGUGAGCACCUGAAUGGUUAGUGACCUAACACU
ensembl:snoRNA